rnacentral:lncRNA from 1 species
CUGAACGGAAAAAAGUUGCACGGGCAUACCUAAACUCCGGUUUUCUUAGCACCGAUGUCCAAAAUGUCCAUUUUUGGCCAAAAUUGACCGGAAGUUAAAUCACAUGCCUACCACGUGACUUUAGUUGGGAUAAAUUGGUCAUUUCCUUUUAUACUCAAUUUUCUUCCUUUUCUUUUUAAUAAAUAUAAAUAAAUCUUAAAAAUAAAAAAAUAAAAAAAGAAGAAUAAGUUUCUUCUUCCCGUCACCAUCAUCCCGGCCAAGCUCUUCCUCUCCCAUCGGAAUUAAGGACUAUAAAUCGAAAGCAAAUCAAUCUUCAUCACUUGCACUCGAAUCAUCACUCGCAGCUAAUCUGGGCCGCUUUUUCUCCGUGAUGUUAACACUCGAAACCCCAACUCCUGAAUUCCUAUUAUCAACCUUCUUUUUGAUAAUCAAACACCCUGAUGAAGUCUUCUUCUUCAACACACCACCUGAUCUUACACUACCUUCCAUUUUCACGCACCAACUACAUAUGAAAAACUCUUUAAAUUCCAACUCGUGCCGAAAUUCCGACCAAAUUCACCUUUACAUUACCGAUUUUUUUUUUUUAAAUUCGACAUGGAUUCCCAAUUGUACAGUCUAGCAUUACCAGAUCUGAAGCAAAACCAAAAGCCCACCCAAAUUCUUAUGUAACAAAAAGAAUUAACGAAAUUUCGCGUCAAUCGAAAAGAAAAUUAAAAAUCGGUGCGCGUUUAAUCCGAGAUCAAAUGACGUCAAUUUCCGGCAGACAAAUUGCAAUGGGAGAAAAUUGAAAGUGGUUCGGUGGUGGUGGUGGUGGUGGUGGUGGUGCGUACGGAUCAGACUGUGGUGGGGGUUGUCUGAUUUGUGUGUGGUGGUGCGUCUGUGACGAAGACGAUGAUGGGUAUUCAAUAUUCCCCUUUUUUUCUUUUCUUU